rnacentral:misc_RNA from 1 species
AAGAAGAAGAAGAAGAAGAUUGAGGGGGAGGUGUUGUGGCAGAGAGGAGGGGUGUGGCUUGGGUUGGGAGUGAGGGGGCGAUGGAUAGAGAGGAGAGAGCAACUGAGCAAGAGUUCUUCUGGAAUGGGAACUGGGUGGGGAAAGGUUUAAAUAAACCUGGGUUCUGACCUGGGCUAUGAAAAUGGACAGAAGCCUGGGCUUAAUGCAGAGGCUUGGCCCGAUUUCGGUUGUUUUUUUUUUUAAUUAAAUUUUUGGUUUAAAAACCGAACCGAAAACUGAACUUCUUUAAAAUCUUAAACCAAAACCAAAUAAGAUCAGUUCAGUUCGGUUUUGUGGUUAAAACUGUUGUCUGCUCACCCCAAAGGUGAAUGAUAGAAACAGGUUUAUUUUCUAUAUUGUGAUGUCUAUCAGUUGGUAGUUGGUAGGCCUCAUUUUAUUUAUAGAAUACUAACAAAGAGAAAAGGAAAAAAG